GGCACGCUGCCGGGAACGGGGAGGGAGGGGAACAGCGGAGCCGCGCGGAGGCUGGGAGGCUUCCCCAGCCCCGAGGCAGGGCGUGCGGGGAAGCGGUGGCUGCAGCAGCACGGAGGCAGUCGCUUCCCACGCCCGGCAGGCAGGACCGACCCCGGCCCGGCUGUACGUGCGGGACCCGCCGCCACCCGCCAGUGAGAGCUGCCCAGACGCGCUGGGAGCGGUGACGGUGAGAUGAUGUCCCCGCACCGACUGCCUCUGACCUACUGCUCCUGCUCAAUGCAUCCUCUGGCUCCCUCCUGAGCCAGAUCCCCUCCCUUCCCCGUGCUGGAUGAAGUAUGGAGUCCGGUGGCAGGAUGUUGUGCUGGAAGUUAACAUUGCCCUAUAGGAGCUCACAGAUUCAUCACAACACCUUGAGAGAAGCAGGAUUAUAACUUGGCCGACCUGGUGGUGUGAUGUUCCAAUGGAGCUUGGUGAUAUUUGUCUCACAUUAUUACCAUGUUACAAAGAGACCAUGUCCCAGAGACUAUUACCAGAACCUAUGUAGAAGGUACUAGUAGGGAGAGGCUGCAGUCUCCAACCCUGUUGCAGUGAUGAGUUUCCAGAGUGCUCUCUUUUUCUUCAUUGGAUUGGUAUCCUCCAUCCAUCUAUGUUCUGGCAGUGGGUUCCCAGAACACAGGUUCUUUAGCGUUGAUGUCUUUAAAGUAAUUCUUGCACGUCAUGACACAGUUCAGGUUUGAAUUCAUAUCUCUAGAAUCCAAGUAUAUUUAGGUUUGUUCUCCCCUUUCUUGACUAGUGUUCUUGGGGGCGUCUGUGAUGUGUCAUUAAAGAUGAAUUAUUUAAUUAAUAAUUUAAUUUAAUAAUUGAAUGUGGCCAAGAGUAAUGGUUUCAACAGAUGUUUUGCAAAAAGUCUAUUACCUAAUCACCUAACACUGAAAAAAUAGAUUAACAUGGUGUCUACUCUCUCAGGCCCACAGAUAUUUUUAUGGAAUAUGGCAUUAUAAUAAAAUUCCCUAGACUUCAGCUUAAUCUGAAAAACUCAUUAAAGAGAGAUUCAAUACACUCUAGAGUUUUAUAUAGACACUUUAAAGUUAAAUGUGUACCAUAUUUCUGUGGCUUUUUUCCUGAUCACUUACUUUGUAAGACAUUUUAUUUUAGGAGGUUUUUAUUGGAUGAAAUAAAAAAAAAUGGCCCAGAAUUAAUUUGGGCUGCGAAGGCCA